CGGGGUAGGAGUAACGCGUGAGGAACCUGCCUCAAAGAGGGGGACAACAGUUGGAAACGACUGCUAAUACCGCAUAAGCCCACGGCUCGGCAUCGAGCAGAGGGAAAAGGAGUGAUCUGCUUUGAGAUGGCCUCGCGUCCGAUUAGCUGGUUGGUGAGGUAACGGCCCACCAAGGCGACGAUCGGUAGCCGGACUGAGAGGUUGAACGGCCACAUUGGGACUGAGACACGGCCCAG
rnacentral:rRNA from 1 species